rnacentral:rRNA from 1 species
AGAGUUUGAUCCUGGCUCAGAACGAACGCUGGCGGCGUGCUUAACACAUGCAAGUCGAGUGCGCGGUUGUAGCAAUACAACUGGCGCACGGCGCACGGGUGCGUAACACGUGGGCAAUCUGCCCUCCGAUGGGGAAUAACCCCGCGAAAGCGGGGCUAAUUCCGCAUAACAUUCCCUGGACUCUGGUUCGGGGAUUCAAAGCAGCAAUGCGUCGGAGGAGGAGCCCGCGCCCGAUUAGCUAGUUGGUGAGGUAACGGCUCACCAAGGCAAUGAUCGGUAGCUGGUCUGAGAGGAUGGCCAGCCACACUGGAACUGAGACGCGGUCCAGACUCCUACGGGAGGCAGCAGUGGGGAAUCUUGCGCAAUGGGCGAAAGCCUGACGCAGCGACGCCGCGUGGGGGAUGAAGCUUCUCGGAGUGUAAACCCCUUUCGACCGGGACGAAUGCCCGCAAGGGAGUGACGGUACCGGUAGAAGAAGCCCCGGCUAACUACGUGCCAGCAGCCGCGGUAAGACGUAGGGGGCCAGCGUUGUUCGGAAUUACUGGGUGUAAAGGGUUCGUAGGCGGUGUGGCAAGUCGGGAGUGAAAUUUCUGGGCUUAACCCAGAGGCUGCUUCCGAAACUGCUGUGCUCGAGUGUGGGAGAGGCGCGUGGAAUUGCAGGUGUAGCGGUGAAAUGCGUAGAUAUCUGCAGGAACACCCGUGGCGAAAGCGGCGCGCUGGACCACUACUGACGCUGAGGAACGAAAGCUAGGGGAGCAAACAGGAUUAGAUACCCUGGUAGUCCUAGCCCUAAACGAUCAGGACUUGGGGUGCCACCCGUUCGGGUGUCGUCCCGGAGCUAACGCGUUAAGUCCUGCACCUGGGGAGUACGGUCGCAAGACUGAAACUCAAAGGAAUUGACGGGGGCCCGCACAAGCGGUGGAACAUGUGGUUCAAUUCGACGCUACGCGAGGAACCUUACCCGGGCUCGAAAUGCUUCUGACCAGCUGUAGAAAAUACGGCCUUCCCGCAA